rnacentral:pre_miRNA from 1 species
CUUCAGCAUGAGGUGUGAUUACAAAGGAAUGAAACUGUUUUUCUUAUGUGGUUUGUGGAAUUGGUUCUGUUACUUUGUAGUUAUAUAUCAUAGAUCU